ACAACACCACGUUAUUUAUUUGUAGUAACAAGACGGCACGGUUUCCUCACAGCACACACAAAGACACACGUACAAGAAUGGCAACAAGAAUGUUCAUGCGUGUCGGAGGCGCGAUGCACUAGAUGUUCCGCGCACACCACUUCACAAGCAAAACCUUAGAAAAUCAAGGCUCAAAUCCUUGGGUUCCACUUGCCCUUCGCUGAAUUCAAAUUACUGUUGCCGAUUUGCACUGCUGACGAUGGCCAAUUGGGGCAAUGUUGCGGCGCCUGCAAAUCUGCCUCAUGUGUGUACUAUCCUCCGCUUUGUAUCAGCAAAUCACAAGGCAAUAAAGCAUCGACAAGACGCAGUAGGUGGUGCUGUUGCACAAACAGGUGUCAAACUUCUAUUUUAUAAAGACGCUUUGGCAAUGCAGUGCGCCGGUACACUGUUUACAAUGCAUGCGCUUUACACCACAGCUACACACAGCUGCCAGUAAGUUACCCGUCUGUGGAAUGUCUGUAGGCGCAGAUAUGUUUCCGACGAAAACGGGAGCCCUGUGAUGCAUCUGAUGUUUCACCUCAUGCUUUCCCACAGUCGGAGUUUCUUUUUGGGCUUCCGACUUGCGCUCACUCGCGAUAACGAGCAUUCGGAACACACCAACACACGUCACUGACCAUGCAUGCCUAGCAGUUGUCUUCACUCGUCGAUGAAGUUUCCUCGGCACACGGUAAUCCAACGCGUUUCUGAAGAAGGAGAAAAAGCUUCUUCCGCACAGCUACUCAUUGUCUCGAAGCCUCCCUUGCUGCAACUUCCAGCGCAACCUGCAGGCACGAACCGAGGGACGACAGUUGGUUUCAAUGCCACCGACGAGCGUCCGCAACGCAGGCCGGCUGCCGGCUGGCGCAGCAUCCAUCAGUGUGAAGCCGUCUUGCUGCCUGUUCACAUCCAUCUGUCGCGGCCGACAGUCCAAGUGAGAGCCGCUUGCGCAGUAAAAGACGAGUGGCGAGAGCUUUCCAGACCGCUGAGUCGCUGUAGCUGCGAAACAGGCCUUGGCGCUCCUGGAAGUCGGCCAAGGUCGUCGCGCAUAUGCUUCCGAGUGGCUGAACACCGUGAGGCCAAGUGGCCAUUGUUCAAUCACCAACUGCCGAGCCGCUGAAAGAUCGCUUUGGUGGCCAAGCCCUAUCGUCUUGCUGCUACCUUCGAGGGAGCGCGUAUCGGCAUGCCGAUUGUAUCGUACUACGCCUGCGUGGUUUCUCAGCGUGGCCUUUAAAAGUUUUCCGAAGAGCAUGAACCGGUCUCAUUCGGAAGCAGCAAAUUGCGGCCGCCUCUACACCUUCUGGCACUUGAACUAUUAUCGUACAGACGGAAUGGUGCUAUCCAGGCGCGCCCUCAAGGUGCCCUGGCUUUCCGAGAAUGAUGCCAACCCGAAGCCACCCUGUCCCGGCAUCCCAAUAACGUCGGAGCGCCAGUUUUCCCUCUAGGACAAAGAGAAAUGAAACACUUCAUGGAACACCGCCACGCCGUCUCGAGACUGCGCCGUCAUCACCGGCGGCCAGGAGGAAAGAGACGGUGGUUGCUGCUGCCUACCGGCACAAAGGGAGUCGACGAGGAACGGAAAAAGCGAUGCAGCGCCACGCCAGACAGGGAGGAGAGAAUGGCGGCGAGGGUCUGGGCCGGUCUGGCACCUCGGGGCGGCAAGCGUGCGUGCGUGCGUGUGCGUGCAGCUACAGCGACGGGGCCAGCAUCCCAGACGGCCUGACCUCGGCGCCUUGGACGCCUUCCCAGAAGACGGCGGUGGCGGCACGAACGGGUUAAAAUAGGACCGACGGCGCGGGGUGCCCACGCCGCCGCCGACGACCGGAGCAGAGAGUGAGACGGCAAGCGACGACACCACAGCGAGGAAGGGCAAGAAGAGCAAAACUAAUAUUGAGAUGCGGGUGCAGUGGCCACCUUCUUCGCACGAGGUAGCUCCGGCGAGUGGCAGAUACAGUCGGAGUCUCUGGGCAUCAAUAAAGUCUACCGCGUAUGUCGGCUGAGCACGCUCUUGCGCGCUCUAAAGA